rnacentral:rRNA from 1 species
CCAAUAGCGUAUAUUAAAGUUGUUGCAGUUAAAAAGCUCGUAGUUGAAUUUCGGGGUCAAUACGUCGGUCGUGCCUCGGUACGCACUAACGUUAUUGAUCCCUCCCUUCUGACGAACCGUGAUGUCAUUAAUUUGGUGUUGCGGGGAAUCAGGACUGUUACCUUGAAAAAAUUAGAGUGUUUAAAGCAGGCAAUCGCUCGAAUACAUUAGCAUGGAAUAAUGAAAUAGGACGUUCGAACCUAUUUUGUUGGUUUCUAGGAUCGACGUAAUGAUUAAUAGGGAUAGUUGGGGGCAUUAGUAUUCAAUUGUCAGAGGUGAAAUUCUUGGAUUUAUUGAAGACUAACUACUGCGAAAGCAUUUGCCAAGGAUGUUUUCAUUAAUCAAGAACGAAAGUUAGGGGAUCGAAGACGAUCAGAUACCGUCGUAGUCUUAACCAUAAACUAUGCCGACUAGGGAUCGGAUGAUGUUAAUUUUUUAAUGACUCAUUCGGCGCCUUACG